CACACCUCCUCAUAAAAUAAUUGGAUCAGGACAGUUAAUUUAAUUGAAAACCCAGGUGAAUCAUUAAUGUGAUUAGUGAGGGAAGUGAGAGGCAUGCCUGUAACAAAGGAGGAAUUUUAGUUUUGUUCUAAGCAUCUUAUGUAUUAAUAUUCCAUUAUAUAGGACAUUUACUAUAUUCCCUUAAUCUAUAAAUAGUUCACAACAAUAACCUAUGUUUCUUGGUAAAUUUAAUUACAAAUGCCAGUGUAUAUCAUUAUUAUUGCAUGUUAUUUGGAACAAUUUCCAGACUUCCACACAUGUGUAUGCUGGCAGCUAACUACACACGAACUCUGGAAAUCUGAUGGGGCAGGACUUAGCUACUUCAUUCCAGAUUUAUUGAAGCAUUCUCUGCCAGUUAUGUGAAGGAACAACUGGCCUGUGCCCCUUGCAUUGAAUGGAAAGGAACGGCUUCAAAAAGUCUUCAAAAAAUGUCCUCAAGACUUACAAGGGAAACUUAACUGGAAGAACUUCAACUGUUCGAUGUGGUGACUCACUACCACCUUUUCAAAGAUGCCAUCAUGAUCAAGUUUCUCUUCAUCAGCUCUAAGAGAAUACCUUCAGCAGAAAGACUGCAGUGGG